GCCCCUGUGGCACAAAUGGUUAAACAUCUGAUGAUUAACCAGAAGGUUGGUGGUUCAAAACCACCCAGGGGCA
rnacentral:tRNA from 1 species